rnacentral:lncRNA from 1 species
CUGACCAGACUGCACGGAUGCGCAGGCUGGUCUGGAUCCAUGCUGGUCGCAAACCCACUACGUUGGUUUUCUCAUGGCGCGGCUCAAAUGUGUGUGCUCCUCAACUUUGAGGGGACGCAAAAACUUAAAAUAGAAUUACCUUUAAACGAUGUCUUCGCAUUGGUGCAAUCGGCUCAUUAUAGGGGCCGCUAAAGUUAAAAGUAGAAAUACCGUUGAACUACUUCUUUUCAUGAACCACUUGAUAUUUCUUCAUCAAACUUCUGUAGCGUAACUGUAAGGUCUUCUCCUACUUUUAUUUAAAUGGUAAUGCUGAGACAAGUAGAAAAUAAUCUUAAGAUGAUUUCUUCUUCAUGAAUUGUUUAGUUGAUCUACAUGAAACUUGGUCCUUCGCAUCACUAUAUGACCCUCUUUCAAUUUUUAACAACUGAUGGCUCUUGGUCCCGUUUAAGACCACUAAUUUAUAUUGAACAUAGUUUUUACCAUUCGUGAAUAAAUGUGUCAUCGAUGUGCAAAUAGCCAUGGUCAGGUGAGCAACUUAUGGCCACUAUGGCUAUCUUUUAUCUCUUAUUUAUCUAGCGGAAUGGUGAUAAACUAUCUUAUUCCGUGGAAGGUAAACAUUCGAGGUAUAUGCGCAUCGAUAAAUGGGGAACUAUAGAAGUGGCUUGGACUAUUCCGGAAAAUAUAACGAAGCUCAAAUUUUCUGCCGUGGUUAAAGAUUUAAAUGGUAUAAAAUGGGUUUUGGACCUCAAAGGUAUAGGCUGCAUUCACUGUAUCGAUUUUUAGGUCUAUUAAAAUAUACCGUCGCCCAAAAAGAAAACCGCAAGAAUUGAAAUACCGAACUUUGAAAAUGUAAACAGAAAUUUAAGUUAUAAACCACAUCAAAGCUGCUGUUUGACAUAGAUUUCUUUAAAUAUAAAUUUGUACUUGUCUUACUAUAAUUAUUCUUUGUCUUUCCAUUUAGAAUUAUUACUGGAAUAUAAUUUAAGGCUGCAAUUGUAUUCCACGAUGAAUGUACAUAUUGUUUUGGGCCGAUUGGUUUUACUUUACAUGAAUGUCAAAAUAUGUGUUUUUCAUAACAUGAAAGCCAGACUUUUUUCAGAAUAAACGAGAUUUAUUUACUGUUAAAA